rnacentral:rRNA from 1 species
AUUGAACGCUGGCGGCAGGCCUAACACAUGCAAGUCGAGCGAGCGGCGGACGGGUGAGUAAUGUCUGGGAAACUGCCUGAUGGAGGGGGAUAACUACGGGAAACGGUAGCUAAUACCGCAUACGAUCAGAUGUGCACAGAUGGGAUUAGCUAGUAGGUUGGGUAACGGCUCACCUAGGCGACGAUCCCUAGCUGGUCUGAGAGGAUGAUCAGCCACACUGGAACUGAGACACGGCCCAGACUCCUACGGGAGGCAGCAGUGGGGAAUAUUGCACAAUGGGCGCAAGCCUGAUGCAGCCAUGCCGCGUGUAUGAAGAAGGCCUUCGGGUUGUAAAGCACUUUCAGCGGGGAGGCGUUACCCGCAGAAGAAGCACCGGCUAACUCCGUGCCAGCAGCCGCGGUAAUUC